UGCGGAGGGGGCAAGCGUUAAUCGGAAUUACUGGGCGUAAAGCGCACGCAGGUGGCUGAGUCAGUCGAUUGUGAAAGCCCUGGGCUUAACCUGGGAAUUGCAGUCGAUACUACUCGGCUAGAGUAUGGGAGAGGGCAGUGGAAUUCCCGGUGUGGCGGUGAAAUGCGUAGAUAUCGGGAGGAACAUCAGUGGCGAAGGCGGCUGCCUGGCCCAAUACUGACACUCAGGUGCGACAGCGUGGGGAGCAAACAGG
rnacentral:rRNA from 1 species